rnacentral:tRNA from 1 species
GGUGGUAUAGCUCAGUGGUAGUGUGCUUGCUUAGCAAGCAUGAGGCCCUGAAUUCAAUUCCCAGUACUAUCA